ensembl:lncRNA novel transcript, antisense to S100A1 and CHTOP
UUCCGCUCCUCAAGACCGCACCUCCCCCGGCUCCUUCUCACUACCGAAACUCACCGAAGGAAACAGACGCCAGUGCUCCUCCCGGGGCUGCCACCACGGCUCCGGCAGGCGGGCCGGGGACCGGCCGAACCUGAGUUGACGGUGGAGGGGCUCGGGUUAGCUAGAUGGGCGGUUGGUUAGAUGCCGGCCGCCAGCUCCUGCUCGGUGUCCAAAACAAAAUGGCCGCCACGUCCAGUGCUUGUCUGACCGGCUAAAAUGGCGUCUACGCAAUUACGUCAGGCGUCAGAUCCGCGCACGACUAGAGGGCGGGAAAGAUUUGAGCUACGCCUGCGCAGAGAUGGAGUCUCGCUGUGUCACCCAGACUGGAGUGCAGUGGUACCAUCUCGGCUCACUGCAACCUCCGCCUCCCAGGUUCAAGCGAUUCUCCUGCCUCAGCCUCCUGAGUAGCUGGAAUUACAGUUGAGAAGCUGAUGUCUCCUCGACUUCCAACUGGAACCUUGAACCCCCACAUUUCUGGACCUUGAGCAUUCCUCAAGUAGGAAGAUGUAAUGCACCUUGACCUCUUUCUAAAUAAGACACUUCCCCAAAUAAGGGGAGUUGAGAGUGAACAGUCUUCACGUCUCCACCCACUUCCAGAUCCCAGAGGAGACAGACAUCGGAUGGCUGAAGAAAUUGUUACAGGCCACUGUGAGAGCAGCCACAAGCACCACAUACUCCUGGAAGUCCACCUCCCCGUCUCCAUUCUCGUCUAGCUCCUUCAUCACCUUGUCCACAGCAUCCACAUCCUUCUGGGCCUGUGGUGGGAGGAGAGGAAGAGGGAGGUGUAUAGGG